UACAUACUCCCUCCAUCCAACAAAGAAUGUCUCAACUUUGAUCGAAUUUGAAUGCAUCUAUAUACUAAGUUAGUCUACAUACAUACAAAUUUUGACAAUCUUGAGACAUCUUUUGUUAGACGGAGGAAGUAUAUA
rfam:Brachypodium distachyon strain Bd21 chromosome 1, whole genome shotgun sequence.